UACGUAGGGCGCAAGCGUUAUCCGGAAUUAUUGGGCGUAAAGAGCUCGUAGGCGGUUUGUCGCGUCUGCCGUGAAAGUCCGGGGCUCAACUCCGGAUCGGCCGUGGAUACUCUCGGGCUCGAGCUUACUAGAGGCAGAUGGAAUUCCGGGUGUAGCGGUGGAAUGCGUAGAGAUCCGGAAGAACACCGGUGGCGAAGGCGGUCUGCUGGGGUAAUGCUGACACUGAUGCGCGACAGCGUGGGGAGCAAACAGG
rnacentral:rRNA from 1 species